rnacentral:rRNA from 1 species
UGACCUCAAAUCAAGUAAGGAUACCCGCUGAACUUAAGCAUAUCAAUAAGCGGAGGAAAAGAAACCAACAGGGAUUGCCUCAGUAACGGCGAGUGAAGCGGCAAAAGCUCAAAUUUGAAAUCUGACGUCUUCGGCGUCCGAGUUGUAAUUUGAAGAUGUUUUCUCCGAGCAGUCCUUUAUCUAUGUUCCUUGGAACAGGACGUCAUAGAGGGUGAGAAUCCCGUAUGAUUUGGGCUCCUGCUCUUUUGUGAGUUUUCAUCGAAGAGUCGAGUUGUUUGGGAAUGCAGCUCUAAGUGGGUGGUAAAUUCCAUCUAAAGCUAAAUAUUGGCGAGAGACCGAUAGCGAACAAGUACAGUGAUGGAAAGAUGAAAAGAACUCUGAAGAGAGAGUGAAAAAGUACGUGAAAUUGCUGAAAGGGAAGGGCUUGAGGUCAGACUUGGUGUUUUACGAUUAUCUUCCCCUUGUGGGUUGUGCACUCGUUUCUCACUGGGCCAACAUCAGUUUUUCUUGCGGAGCACGCUUAGGAAUGUGGCUCUCUUCGGAGAGUGUUAUAGCCUUUGUACGAUUCGCUUGGGAGACUGAGGACUGCGCUUUAUGCUAGGAUGUUGGCGUAAUGACCUUAAGCCGCCCGUCUUGAAACACGGACCAAGGAGUCUAACGUCUAUGCGAGUGUUUGGGUGUUAAACCCGUACGCGUAAUGAAAGUGAACGUAGGUUGGGGCCUUCGGGUGCACAAUCGACCGAUCCUGAUGUUUUCAGA